CAUUAAAGAGUUGCAAAACUCCCAAACCAUUGUGAACAUACCUUCAACGUUGCUUCGGCGGGUUGGCCCCGGUCUCCGGGGCCCCCGGCCCUCACGGGCGCCCGCCGGAGGUACCUAACUCUUGAACUUUUAGGCCUCUCUGAGUCUUUGUACUUAAUAAGUCAAAACUUUCAACAACGGAUCUCUUGGUUCUGGCAUCGAUGAAGAGCGCAGCGAAAUGCGAUAAGUAAUGUGAAUUGCAGAAUUCAGUGAAUCAUCGAAUCUUUGAACGCACAUUGCGCCCGCCAGUAUUCUGGCGGGCAUGCCUGUUCGAGCGUCAUUUCAACCAUCAAGCCCCCGGCUUGUGUUGGGGACCUGCGGCUGCCGCAGGCCCUGAAAACCAGUGGCGGGCUCGCUAGUCACUCCGAGCGUAGUAAUACAUCUCGCUCAGGGCGUGCUGCGGGUUCCGGCCGUUAAAAAGCCUUAUUUACCCAAGGUUGACCUCGGAUCAGGUAGGAAGACCCGCUGAACUUAAGCAUAUCAAUAAGCGGAGGAAAAGAAACCAACAGGGAUUGCCCCAGUAAC
rnacentral:rRNA from 1 species